GGCGCAUGCUCGACUCUCUUUUAUGAAUGGGGGGCUGGAGGAAGCCUGGCUGCGAGCCGCGGAGGACGGAUCCGGCUCUCGCUCGCUGUUUGCGUGUCCCCCUCCCCCGCUUUAUUUAUUUAAUUUUGUGAAUGGAGGGCAGGCGGUGACAGCUGCGCACGUACCGCGCCCUCCGCCCGGCCUGAAGGGAGGAUCAAAGCCCGGGGAGGACCCUUCAGCUGUUUGCUUUUCCUUUAUGCAGAAACUUUACCGCGGCUGCCCUAAAAACACCACCAAACACAAUCAAGAAUCCCUCCCCAGAAAAGCAAAUGAUUUCCCACAGCCUGAAGUAAGGUGCUGGAUAUCUGCUGGCAUUUCUCCCCCUCUGCUUGCAGCUGCCCUGCACAGCAGGAGAGCCUGGAGUGAUGGGGCUGCAUGGCGCAGGCUGUGGAGUUCUUCCAAGAAUUUUUCAAUUUCCACAGAUGAAAAUAUAGUCUAAACCAGAUGCCAGCUGAAACGCACUCACUUCAUACCACCUCGCCAAGGCAGCACGCCACGGGCUCAGCAAUGUGACCUUUAAAAUAGCCUUUCUAGAACACACUGCUAAGGCUCUUUCGAAAAAGCCACAAUUGCAGCUACUCUUAUUACUCAUAAUGUCCCUGAUGGAGAGGAACACUUGAGGAACUUCAGCUUCAACAACGCGGUAGAGGUAGUUCUGUGCAGCGCAGCCUUCCUUUGUGGGAUUGCAGACUUGAGACCACGAUGAGAGUGUUGGUGAUAAUGGGCAUUUCCUAAAUCAUUACUUAUAUGAGAUUAAAAUGAAGUAAAAGCAGCAAAACCUUUGUUUCACUUUGCCCACGUGUGGCUCUGCCAUUCAGCCAUUUGUUUCUAGAAGUGGAUACAUAUAGCCAUGCUUUCUCCAUGUAUUUAUAAAAGUAACAAAUAUUACACACACAAACACAUACUAAUAUUAUCCAAAAUGCAUUCAGACAAUGUAUUUCAAAUCAGUGAAUAUUCUGAGUAAUCAGCCUAAAUGGUGCUUUGUAGAUGUGUAAUUGCUCACUACUUUAUGGGAUUUUGGUAGUGUUCUGAGCUACCACUUCAUUAAAACUGUCACUUGGGAUCCAA